rnacentral:rRNA from 1 species
UACGUAGGGGGCGAGCGUUGUCCGGAAUCAUUGGGCGUAAAGAGCGUGUAGGCGGCCCGGUCAGUCUGGUGUGAAAUCUUGAGGCUCAACCUCAAGCUGUCAUCGGAUACUGCCGGGCUAGAAUCCGGAAGAGGAGAGUGGAAUUCCUGGUGUAGCGGUGGAAUGCGCAGAUAUCAGGAGGAACAUCCGUGGCGAAGGCGGCUCUCUGGUACGGUAUUGACGCUGAGACGCGAAAGCGUGGGGAGCGAACAGG